GGAGAGGUGCCGGAGCGGUUGAACGGGGCAGUCUCGAAAACUGUUGACGGGCGUAAGUUCGUCCGAGGGUUCGAAUCCCUCCCUCUCCG
rnacentral:tRNA from 1 species